GUGAAAUUGUUGAAAGGGAAACGAUUGAAGCCAGUCGUACCUUCGGGCAAUCAGCCUUUCGGGUGCGAUUAUGUGGAGUGUGAGGAGCUUAAACACCUUCAUGUUUUGCAUAUUCGUACUCUUGGGUGUACUUGCCCGUGUGGUUGGUUAACAUCAGUUUUGUUGGUCAUAAAAUGACUGGAGGUAUGUAGCUUCGAUCUCGUAUUGAAGUGUUAUAGCCUUCGGUAGAUGUGAUUAUCGAGAUUGAGGAUUGCAACGGAUACCCUUCGGGGCUACCUGUCUGGUAUCUGAUCGUUGCUCUGGUGCUGAAAGCUUGCUUACGGAUAUCAAAGUUGAUGGUGAAUAGGUUAGAACGGGUUAAAUUCGUUAAGGAUGUUGACGUAAUGGCUUUAAACGA
rnacentral:rRNA from 1 species